AUGAACGCUGGCGGCGUGCCUAAUACAUGCAAGUCGAGCGAACGGACGAGAAGCUUGCUUCUCUGAUGUUAGCGGCGGACGGGUGAGUAACACGUGGAUAACCUACCUAUAAGACUGGGAUAACUUCGGGAAACCGGAGCUAAUACCGGAUAAUAUUUUGAACCGCAUGGUUCAAAAGUGAAAGACGGUCUUGCUGUCACUUAUAGAUGGAUCCGCGCUGCAUUAGCUAGCUGGUAAGGUAACGGCUUACCAAGGCAACGAUGCAAAGCCGACCUGAGAGGGUGAUCGGCCACACUGGAACUGAGACACGGUCCAGACUCCUACGGGAGGCAGCAGUAGGGAAUCUUCCGCAAUGGGCGAAAGCCUGACGGAGCAACGCCGCGUGAGUGAUGAAGGUCUUCGGAUCGUAAAACUCUGUUAUUAGGGAAGAACAUAUGUGUAAGUAACUGUGCACAUCUUGACGGUACCUAAUCAGAAAGCCACGGCUAACUACGUG
rnacentral:rRNA from 1 species